rnacentral:tRNA from 2 species
GGGAUGAUAGCUCAGUUGGGAGAGCGCGAGAGUGAAGCCUUCAGUUCUUGAGGUCGGGCGUUCGAUCCGCCCUCGUCCCA